UUACGACUACAACACGAAUGAAACACUGGUCCCUGUAUGAUCACCGAGGUUAAGCAGCGUCAAGCUUUGUCAGUACCUAGAUGGGUGACCACUUCGGAUUACCAGGUACUGUAA